AGAAAUGUGAGAGUGGGAUGACACUGGAUGAGUGAAUUCUGAACAUCAUUUGAGCUGCACUCAGUGUUUUCUUUUGUUUGGCUGUGAUUGCUUGACCUACUCCAGUCAAUCUAAUUCCUGUUAAAGUUUACUCCACAAUAGUGUCCAUUUAUUCAUUUGGCAGACAAUUUCAACAUUGAUUUGCAGUGCAUGAAAGAUCCUUCAAAAAUAUCUCCUGACAAAGCUGACAAAGAGCUGGCACGUGCAUUUGGAAGAAUGAGAUGACUUGUGGCAUAGAAUGGAUCUUGUUGCAUGUGUGGAAACAGCAAAAAUACUUAUGAGAUGUGAUUUUGGACCAUCUGAUUAGGACUGCUUCCAAAUAAUGUGUUGGAAUGUGGAAUCUGAUCAAACCUGCUGUGAGUGUAGAAGAGACAGAAAGUUCAUACAUGAUAAGAACUUGCCCCAGAGCAAAGGCCAGCCACCCCCUCUUUCACUCGAGCAGAUGUUUCACAGAAGUGCAUUGCAUAAACACAAAAGAAGAUAUUCUGAUGAAUGCUGAAGUCCAUACAAGAUUGGACGACACUGACUUUCUUUUAUAAGUUCAAACAGGUUUAGAACAACAUGAGGGUGAGUAAAUAAUGACAGAUUUUUCUUUUUUCAGGUGAACUAACCCCACUCACACCAAGAAAAAACAAACUUAAAUAUGAGUUUUGUAUUGCUGAAAAGCAAGUGGAAUUCAUAUUGUCAUAUUUUUUAUGUGCACAAAUGCAGUGUUUUGUUUGUUUGUUUGUUUGUUUGUUUCACUCUUGGUGUAAAUAGACUUUUUGUGCAUGAUUUAUUUUGCUUUUCCGCUUUUAGUGUGAACAGGCCUUUAUUGUUUCGACCCUGCACCCGUAUUUAAGCUUCAAUGCUUCAUUACCCACAGUAUGUGUUUCCUUUUUCCUUAUUCACUCAUAUCCAACACAGAAAGCAUGCAAGGUCAAUAUGGCCCUAAGGAAAUGAAAUUCCCAAAGGAAAGGCAUAUGGCUCCGGCUGGUGCUAAUCAAUAUCUUCAAUACGGCACACUGCCCUGAUCAAUUGUGCAUCAUGAAGGCUUGUAUCUUCGAAUAAAAGAUUUGUAUCGUUAACAUCUCCAACACCAAGAGCUGCAUCUUCCCACCCAGGAUCAAUAGGAUUUUUCUUAAGCCUUGAGCACACAGCGUUUUCAUUGACGUCUGCUGCUCUGAUGUAUAUUUAACUGCUGGGUGUAACUCCUGUCCUGGAGAAGCACCAGUCAACAGUCAGUUUUACUACAAGGAACUUUGACGAUGUUAGGGGAACACGCUUAGAUUGUCAAACAUCUCACAUGCUCCUUAAAGGUAACACCUAAGGACCACACAUGCUCUGUUGAAAAAAAUAUGUAGAAAGAAAUGCUUAGAAAGAUGAUGAAGACUCAAGUGAGUCCUUAUAGGCAUGUGGCUAUGAAUGUGCAUGGUGAGUGGCAUGUUGAGUCAGAGGGAGAACAGCAAGUGAAAAGAACUUCACCAUAACAAAUGCAACCCUGAGGAUCUAGUUUAAUCAUUUAAAAGUUAGCCUAAAAGUUAUAAAUGUCAUCCUAAAAUUGAAGCACUUUAGGGUUAGAAAUGAAUGUUUUUGUCACCAAAAGCAACACAAAUGGCCCUCGUAGUAAAUUCGUCUGAGUGGAGAAAUUAUGUAAUCUAUUCAAGGCCUGUCUAGUUAUUUUAAGAUUUAGUAAGAGCUGCUGCUUGAAUACUGUUGCUUGGAACAACAGACUCUAAAACAAUUGAUUACAUCAAAAUCAACUGGUCUAACAUAAGCACUAGCCAAUUAAAAUGUAUUCUAGAGAGUUUGGGGUAUGAUUUACUGUGUUUGAUUUAUAGAUGCACCACCAUUUAAAAGUAAAAAAAAAAAAAAAGAGAGAGAGAGAAAAUUAAUGAUUUUUUAUUCAGCAAAAAACAGUAAAGUUCUUUUGAACUUUAGAUUCAUCAAACUGAAUAGAAAAAAAAUUAUACUGGUUUCCACAAAAAAAUAUUAAUCAGCAGUAUUUUCAAAAUUGAUGAUAAUAAGAAAUGCUUCUAGAGCAGCAAAUCAACAUAUUAGAAUGAUUUCUCUGGUCCGAGUCCUGCUCAAAGCGGAUACAAGGACCCGGGGUGGGGGUUACACUCUCAUAAAAAAAAUCAGUUCCAUGGGGAAUAAUAUAUAAUAUGAAAAUAAUAUAUCACUGUUCUGCUUUGCUCAUUGUCAA